rnacentral:tRNA from 1 species
GGAUUAUGGCUCAGUGGUAGAGCACUUUCCUGGUAUGUUUGAGGCACUGGGUUUGAUUCUCAGCACCG